AUGCGCCAUAUGGGAGAUCCUUCUCGCCGGACUUCAGGAGAAGGCGGUCCCUCGGCGACGGGUUUGAGAGCUAGCGUGGGUUUUGCCAGACCAUUCAUGCUACCCAGAUGGGAUUGUCGCUCAAUAUCGGCAUGUAUCAUGUAUGCAGCAGACGAGGAUGAUGAUGACGCCGAGGAGGAUGAGGACCUGAGCUCGAGCCUGACCACGAUGGCGCAUAUCACAAGGUCCCUACUGCCUGCCAGUAAUUACUCCCUGCAGGUUUCACAUCAUUCUCAGGAGAAGCGGUGGGUGUUUUUUGACUUUGGCGUUCGGAAAGCACUUGGGAGGGGCCAGUUCGGCAUGUUUACUUGGCCAGAGAAAAGAGGAUUGUUGACAACAACAAACUUUCUGAACAGAACAAUGAGAGUCCCGAACAAUGGGAGAAUGGAGCUUCCCGUCUAUGAACUAAUCGAUCGACUAUAUCGUAUCGAGCUCAAAGGAUAA
rnacentral:rRNA from 1 species